rnacentral:rRNA from 1 species
UACGUAGGGAGCAAGCGUUGUCCGGAAUCAUUGGGCGUAAAGCGCACGUAGGCGGAUUGUUAAGUCAGGGGUGAAAUCCUGGAGCUCAACUCCAGAACUGCCUUUGAUACUGGCGAUCUUGAGUCCGGGAGAGGUGAGUGGAACUGCGAGUGUAGAGGUGAAAUUCGUAGAUAUUCGGAGGAACACCAGUGGCGAAGGCGGCUCACUGGUCCGGUACUGACGCUGAGGUGCGAAAGCGUGGGGAGCAAACAGG